rnacentral:rRNA from 1 species
UACAGAGGGUGCAAGCGUUGUUCGGAAUUACUGGGCGUAAAGCGCACGUAGGCGGCUUUGUAAGUUAGAGGUGAAAGCCCGGGGCUCAACUCCGGAAUUGCCUUUAAGACUGCAUCGCUAGAAUUGUGGAGAGGUAAGUGGAAUUCCGGAGUGUAGAGGUGAAAUUCGUAGAUAUUCGGAAGAACACCAGUGGCGAAGGCGGACUUACUGGACACAUAUUGACGCUGAGGUGCGAAAGCGUGGGGAGCAAACAGGGAUAAGAA